GCGCGCAGACGCGGCCCCCGCUCGGCGUCCAAUCGGGGGUGCGCUGUGGGAGGGGCCGCGGGGAUCCCGGUGUCCGGUGGCCCAGGUGAUGGAGAUGUCUUCCCGUGGUCGUCGGAGGGAUUGAGCCGCGGGAGGAGGCUCCCCUGAAAUUAGGGACUCAGCAGUUCCGCCACGUGCGGGACGAUAAGCCAGGGUGCAGUGAUUAGUGGGAAACACUGGAACCUACCAAUCAGGAACAUAAAUGGAGGACAAUGAAGAAGAUUCAAAGAAAUCAAUUCCCAUUGCCCUAAUCUAACAAGUUUCAACAUAAAAGUACACUGAAACGUCACUACUAUGCAACAAAGCACAGCACAGUGGAACAAAUUUGAGGUGACUUCUCAGAAUGAAUGACAGGCUGUGGUCUAGCUAAUCCAACACUGGCUGUCUAUUAUUAGAAGGUCCAAGAAUCCAGUGGCUGUUCAGUCCACAAAGCUGGAUGUCUCAGCUGGAAUUCAGUGUACACUGGAAUUCCAAGGUAGGCUCUAAUGCCAAAGAAGGAAUGGACUUGCCAAAGAGAGCAAGAGCAAGCAAGCAAAGAGAGGUAAGCUUCCUUUUUCCAUAUCCUUUAUAUAGGCUGCCCAGAUUGGAGGUGGUUCUUCCCACCUUGAAAGAUCUGGAUUAAAACUGAGUCUUCCCAUUUCAAAUAAUUCAAGAAAAAAAAAUCCAUCAUAGGUGUA